AUAAAUUUUUGGUCACAUGUAAACAUUGAUUAAUUAUUAUCCGGCAAGUAGCGAGUUGGAACCAUGACAAACAUAUGACAUAGCCGUUAUCUCCUUCCCCGCCACUUUUACAUAGAUAGCAUGCUCCCCGUUUUCUGUUCACAUCUUGUAAGUUGUAACAAUACACAUACCAACCCAAUCUGCACCUAUCAUUCUACUACUUUCCCCAUGUGUCCUGCCCUCUCUGUUUUCCGACCCAUCACCACCGCACACCACCAUCGUCGCCGCCGUCUCGCCCUCUCCUCCAUCACUCUCCUUCAAUCAACCCCACCAAACAUCUUCUCAAGAUCCCUAACCAAACCACGCAGAUUACGUACUUUUUCCUCACUUUAUUCAGCUAGGACUUCUGUCGAACACAUUGACUGCAAUGCUCCAGUUGAAGAAGUAUGGGAUUUUCCCGACCCUGGUGACAAAGAUAUGUUCAAUUUUGAUUCGGGAUUUGGUUUGACUGAGAUGAGCAAGCCGGGUUCGAGUUCGGGGUCUUUGUCUGUUGAAGUUAAGGAAUUGGAGGAACUUCCUGAACAGUGGAGGAGAUCAAAGUUGGCUUGGUUGUGUAAAGAGCUCCCCGCGCAUAAGCAAGGGGUGCUUGUUCGGGUGCUUAAUGCGCAACGUAAGUGGGUUAGGCAAGAAGAUGCUACUUAUCUUGCUGUUCAUUGUUUGCGAAUACGGGAGAAUGAGACUGCCUUUAGGGUAUAUAAAUGGAUGAGGCAACAGCACUGGUUCCAAUUUGAUUUUGCUCUUGCCACUAAGCUAGCGGAUUACAUGGGCAAAGAGCGGAAGCACUUGAAAUGUCAGGAUAUAUUUGAUGACAUAAUUCAACAAGGACUGGUGCCUGCUGAAUCUACAUUUCACAUUCUGACAGUUGCUUAUCUUAGCUCAUCUUCUCAAGGUUGCCUGGAGCAAGCAUGCACCACCUACAAUCGCAUGAUCCAGCUGGGAGGAUACAAGCCCCGACUUAGUUUGCACAAUUCUCUAUUCAGAGCUCUUGUUAGCAAUCCAGGAGACUCUGCAAAACAUAACCUUAAACAGGCAGAGUUUGUGUAUCACAAUUUGUCAACAUCCGGGCUUGAGAUACACGAGGAUAUAUAUCGUGGUUUAAUUUGGCUACUGAGCCAUCAGGAUGUAGUAGACAAAGAAAGAAUUGCAUCACUUAGAUUGGAGAUGAAUGGGGCAGGUUUUGGAGAAAGCAAAGAUGUGCUAGUUUCUAUAUUGAGAGCAUGCUCCAAGGAAGGAGAUGUGGUGGAAGCAGAAAGUACUUGGACCAAACUCCUUAGUUUUGGUAAUCGACCCCCUUCACUAGCUUUUGUUUAUAGAAUGGAAGUCUAUGCAAGAGUAGGAGAACCUAUGAAAUCCUUGGAAAUAUUCAGGUCAAUGCAAGAACUCUUUGGUUCUCCUACCGUUAGCGCAUUUCAUAAAGUUAUAGAGGUGCUGUGUAAUGCCCAAGAGAUGGAACUUGCAGAAUCUGUCAUGACAGAGUUUAUAAAUAGUGGAAUGAAGCCCCUAAUGCCUUCAUAUAUUGAUUUAUUAAAUCUGUAUUAUAGUUUAGGCCUGCACGAUAAAUUGGAAGCAACUUUCAGUCAGUGCCUCGAGAAUUGUGACCCUAAUCGAAGCAUGUUCAACAUUUAUUUAAAAUCUUUAGUGCAAAUUGGAAAUCUCGAGAAGGCGGAAGAGAUAUUCAACCAAAUGUAUCGCAAUGAAGCAGUUGGUAUCAAUACAAGAUCAUGCAACUUGAUUUUAAGAGGUUAUCUCUCUUCUGGAGAUAAUAUAAAGGCUGAGAAGAUAUAUAAUCUUAUGUGCAAGAAGAAGUACAAUGUUGAACCCCCAUUGAUGGAAAAACUUGACUUUGUUUUGAGCUUGAGCAGGAAGGUUGUGACAAAACCCACAAUCCUGAAGCUUAGCAGCAAUCAACGAGAGAUAUUGGUCGGUUUGUUACUUGGUGGUUUGCAGAUAGUAUCUGAUGAGAGCAGAAAGAAUCAUGCUAUACAAUUUAAUUUCAGAGAGGAUUCUGCUACGCAUAAUGUGCUGAAGAGAUAUUUACAUUAUGAAUAUCAUGAGUGGUUAGCUUCCUUUUGUAAGGCGGAAGAUGGAGCUGACGACUAUAUACCAUGUCAGUUUACUACUAUAUCCCACUCUUAUUUUAGUUUCUACGCAGACCAAUUCUGGCCAAGUGGGAGACCUGCAAUACCGAAGUUAAUCAACCGGUGGUUAUCGCCUCGAGCUCUUGCAUACUGGUACAUGUAUGGAGGCUACAGAACGUCAUCAGGGGAUAUUUUGUUGAGGCUGAAGGGAAGUCAAGAAGGUGUUGCUAAGGUCGUUCAAGCACUGAAGAUGAAAUCACUUGAUUGCAGAGUAAAAAAGAAGGGGAAAGCGUUUUGGAUUGGUCUUCUUGGUAGCAAUUCAACGUGGUUUUGGAAACUGGUGGAGCCCUUUAUUCUGGAUGAUUUAAAAGAUAUUCUAAGAGCAGGUGAGCAGUCCACAAGUGAAAUGGGAGAAACACGAGAGAUUAAUUUCAAUAGUGGGUCUGAUUUUGAUUCUGAUUCUGAUGAUUAUCAAAACUUGCAAGGAGAUCGAUGAGGACUACUUGUAGAACUGCUUACAUGAUGAGGACUCCUUGUAGAGCUGCUAAGAUGCCCUGGCGUGUAGAGAAUUUCAUGAGGCCAACACUGCAAUGAAAGCCAUUACGCUCCCCGCAUGCAAGGUAGUAAGGCUUCCAAUUCUUCAACACCAACUCAUAUCCAUUUGCUCCACCUUGUGUCACUGUAGCCAGCUCCGUCGCACUUGUCAGGUCACAGUUGAUGAAACUCUGAUAAUCUGGUAGCAGGUACACACUGUGAGGAAAUGUGUGAUUGCUUGGUGGAUCAUACUGAAACACUGGCGGAACAUCAGAGGAACAUGCAUGUGUUAAGUUACCAGUUCUCUUGAAAUCUAGCGGAAAUAAGAAAAGAGUUUAAAUGUGUGAAUAUGUACCUAGAGUGUCGUUGAGGUAAAAUGGGCCGGUCUUGAUCGCCCAGUCUGUGUAAUUAAACCCGAAUUGCCAUUUCUGGUCUCCGCCAACUAUGAUUUUGCCAGAACACUGAGGUAUGUUCUGACGCCAACCGGAUGUGAAAUUGAAGGGAGGGCGGUUCCACGGCCAGCCUGCGGUGAAGUUGAAGCCAGAAUCCCAUUUUACUGUUCCAUUCGUCAACUUUCUGUUGCUGGCAUUGCUGGCUACAAAAAAUGUUGCUGCUACAAGAAAUAGCAUAACUAGUUCUGCACAUUUGGAAGCCAUAGUGAGUAGGUUAAUAUAAAAUGUAACUACUUGCAAACCAAUUUAAGUGGUUAGAUGGGCUGUGUUGUGUUGGCAGGAGACUUGAUACGAGUUUAUAUACUGCAGCAACACUAGAACACAUCUAGAGGAUGA